UACGUAGGGUCCGAGCGUUGUCCGGAAUUACUGGGCGUAAAGAGCUCGUAGGUGGUUUGUCGCGUUGUUCGUGAAAACUCACAGCUCAACUGUGGGCGUGCGGGCGAUACGGGCAGACUAGAGUACUGCAGGGGAGACUGGAAUUCCUGGUGUAGCGGUGGAAUGCGCAGAUAUCAGGAGGAACACCGGUGGCGAAGGCGGGUCUCUGGGCAGUAACUGACGCUGGAGGAAGCGAAAGGCGU
rnacentral:rRNA from 1 species